UUUCGCACGUAAGUUCUAAAAUAGUCAGACCAGCAGUCUGGCGUGAGUUUUUUUCUGCGACCGUUAUUUUGCAAUCAGUCGCGUUCUAAUUUCCAUGGAGACGCAUGAACCUUGUCAUGUGACAUUUCAGUCAAAAUGGCGCGCACACGAUGGAUAACCGUCUGCAGAACAGCCGCGUGACAAUCCGUGCAUCUCCCCCAGAAACGCCGCGUGACAAUCGGCUUAAUAAUGCUUCAGUGUGUGGUACUCCUCAAAACACGGGACAGCACACAAGGGAGUGUUGCAUGGCACACACAUGUGCUUGGUGAGGCGCCUCUGCUUGCCCUUGCGUGUGCUGGAGAGGCAGACCUUGCAGUGCCGCCUGGUCUUGCUGCCCUGGGAAGUGGUCUGAGGGACUUCAGAUGGGAAAUGCCUGGCUGUAAGGCGCAGAGGAGUGUCCAAGGCAGGACGCCCGCCUUUGGUUGGACCUCGCAAUGUGCUGUACUCCUCCAGCAGCCCUCUCAUCAGUAAUUUGCCGGUAGACGAUGUGGCUGUUGAGUAAAACCGUGUCGAGUACAUGAAAAAAUACUUUCUUGUACCACUUGGUAGACUUUCUGGUGCAUUCAUGAAAACCAGUCAUCAUAUCAGCUUUGUCAACUGCAC